UGGGGAAUAUUGCACAAUGGGCGAAAGCCUGAUGCAGCAACGCCGCGUGAGGGACGACGGCCUUCGGGUUGUAAACCUCUUUUAGCAAGGAAGAAGCGAAAGUGACGGUACUUGCAGAAAAAGCGCCGGCUAACUACGUGCCAGCAGCCGCGGUAAUACGUAGGGCGCAAGCGUUAUCCGGAAUUAUUGGGCGUAAAGAGCUCGUAGGCGGUUUGUCGCGUCUGCUGUGAAAACCCGAGGCUCAACCUCGGGCCUGCAGUGGGUACGGGCAGACUAGAGUGCGGUAGGGGAGAUUGGAACUCCUGGUGUAGCGGUGGAAUGCGCAGAUAUCAGGAAGAACACCGAUGGCGAAGGCAGAUCUCUGGGCCGUAACUGACGCUGAGGAGCGAAAGGGUGGGGAGCAAAACAGGCUUAGAUACCCUGGUAGUCCACCCCGUAAACGUUGGGAACUAGUUGUGGGGUCCAUUCCACGGAUUCCGUGACGCAGCUAACGCAUUAAGUUCCCCGCCUGGGGAGUACGGCCGCAAGGUUAAAACUUAAAUGAAUUGACGGGGUCAAUAGCUGUUUCCU
rnacentral:rRNA from 1 species